UACGUAGGGGUCGAGCGUUGUCCGGAGUUACUGGGCGUAAAGCGCGUGCAGGUGGCUCAUUACGCCCGGCGUGAAAGCCCCCGGCUCAACCGGGGAGGGUCGUCGGGGACGGAUGAGCUUGAGGGUCGCAGGGGCUGGUGGAAUUCCCGGUGUAGUGGUGAAAUGCGUAGAGAUCGGGAGGAACACCCGUGGCGAAGGCGGCCAGCUGGGCGACACCUGACACUGAGACGCGAAGGCGUGGGGAGCGAACGGGAUUAGAUACCCCGGUAGUCCACGCAGUAAACGAUGCCGACUAGGCGUGGGGGGACUUGACCCCUUCCGUGCCGAAGCUAACGCAUGAAGUCGGCCGCCUGGGGAGUACGGCCGCAAGGCUAAA
rnacentral:rRNA from 1 species